GACGAACGCUGGCGGCGUGCUUAACACAUGCAAGUCGAACGGAAAGGCCCUGCUUUUGUGGGGUGCUCGAGUGGCGAACGGGUGAGUAACACGUGAGUAACCUGCCCUUGACUUUGGGAUAACUUCAGGAAACUGGGGCUAAUACCGGAUAGGAGCUCCUGCUGCAUGGUGGGGGUUGGAAAGUUUCGGCGGUUGGGGAUGGACUCGCGGCUUAUCAGCUUGUUGGUGGGGUAGUGGCUUACCAAGGCUUUGACGGGUAGCCGGCCUGAGAGGGUGACCGGCCACAUUGGGACUGAGAUACGGCCCAGACUCCUACGGGAGGCAGCAGUGGGGAAUAUUGCACAAUGGGCGGAAGCCUGAUGCAGCAACGCCGCGUGCGGGAUGACGGCCUUCGGGUUGUAAACCGCUUUCGCCUGUGACGAAGCGUGAGUGACGGUAAUGGGUAAAGAAGCACCGGCUAACUACGUGCCAGCAGCCGCGGUGAUACGUAGGGUGCGAGCGUUGUCCGGAUUUAUCGGGCGUAAAGGGCUCGUAGGUGGUUGAUCGCGUCGGAAGUGUAAUCUUGGGGCUUAACCCUGAGCGUGCUUUCGAUACGGGUUGACUUGAGGAAGGUAGGGGAGAAUGGAAUUCCUGGUGGAGCGGUGGAAUGCGCAGAUAUCAGGAGGAACACCAGUGGCGAAGGCGGUUCUCUGGGCCUUUCCUGACGCUGAGGAGCGAAAGCGUGGGGAGCGAACAGGCUUAGAUACCCUGGUAGUCCACGCUGUAAACGGUGGGUACUAGGUGUGGGGUCCAUUCCACGGGUUCCGUGCCGUAGCUAACGCUUUAAGUACCCCGCCUGGGGAGUACGGCCGCAAGGCUAAAACUCAAAGGAAUUGACGGGGCCCCGCACAAGCGGCGGAGCAUGCGGAUUAAUUCGAUGCAACGCGUAGAACCUUACCUGGGUUUGACAUGGAUCGGGAGUGCUCAGAGAUGGGUGUGCCUCUUUUGGGGUCGGUUCACAGGUGGUGCAUGGCUGUCGUCAGCUCGUGUCGUGAGAUGUUGGGUUAAGUCCCGCAACGAGCGCAACCCUUGUUCACUGUUGCCAGCACGUUAUGGUGGGGACUCAGUGGAGACCGCCGGGGUCAACUCGGAGGAAGGUGGGGAUGACGCCAAGUCAUCAUGCCCCUUAUGUCCAGGGCUUCACGCAUGCUACAAUGGCUGGUACAGAGAGUGGCGAGCCUGUGAGGGUGAGCGAAUCUCGGAAAGCCGGUCUCAGUUCGGAUUGGGGUCUGCAACUCGACCUCAUGAAGUCGGAGUCGCUAGUAAUCGCAGAUCAGCAACGCUGCGGUGAAUACGUUCCCGGGGCU
rnacentral:rRNA from 1 species